AAGCAUUGUGGCUCCCUAGCGGGUGAAUAUUGUAAGAAGAUUGUACUUCUGCUAGGUACCAUUAUGUAUAAUGGCUAGAAUGAUAGGAUUGUUCGUUGACUUAUGAAUUAGGUGGCAUGAUUCUUAAGGUGAAAAUAUGUGUGUUAGUUUAUAACAUUGUAGUUUAUUAUGGUGGUAUGUGAAAUUCAAUGCCCCUGCAAUACUUUAAAAUGAAAUUGCAUUUGACAUUUUCCUACAUUUGACUCCAUAUAAUGUUAAACCUAUUAAGUGCGUUGCAUUAAACUGCUUCUUGAGAGAUAAAAAAGAGAAGGUGAAUCAGGUCAAGGGUGUAUUAUGGUUUUUUAAGUGAUUCUUGAAACCCAGUUCUUCUAUAUUGUAUCCUUAUUUGGAGUAUGGUUUAUUUCUGUUUGUUGUCAACUAAGCAUGUAAAUCUAAGAGCUCAGGUCUGUCAUGCCUAAUGAAGUUUUGAACUUUAUGCAGUUUUCAAUUUUUGUCUGAAUGGAAGAAAGAGGAGCUCAAUUUUGUGAUCUUCAUUGCACCAAAUUUUGCUGGCUAUCUACAGUGGCGAACUUUAUUUCGGUCUUUUCCUUGCCAUGAUGAUAGUAGUGUAAAACAAAUAUUUUUAUGGGUCGAAUAUUUAUUUGUACAAGUGUACAUUAGAGCAGGGUUUUUAGAAUGCUCUUGGAUGCUUUGAUAUAAGGCCGAUAACUUCAUGUACUAUUUUUUCCAAUGACUUAUAAUGCAUUCCUAGAGUUUUAUUGUAAUUGAUUUAAUAUAUUAGUUGAUGGUCAUACCUACGGAGAUGGUGUAAGGGAUGUGUUCCCAUAGGUGUGUUUAUCGUUUGGAAUGUUGUACUUAUUGUACUUACACGAACUGCUCAAACAUUUAUGGUGCACUCAAAAACAUUUACUGCAUUAUUUGUCUCUGAUAUGAUCUUCCUUAUCA
rnacentral:lncRNA from 1 species